AACGCCCAGCCAAUCACGUGGCGCUCCUCCGGUCAUGUGACGCAGACGGUUCACUUCACAAGACCGGGGUCAACCACGGCUACCAGCAUGAUCGACGGUGCUUCAAUGCACAAUGAGGGAUGUCUGCAGCGACUGAGAAAGAGUCUCACCACAUCCUGACAUGAGGAAAAAGACUUUAUUGAAGACUACAAUGAGAAAAACUAUCAGACAGCAGACGGCUGCAUUCAAGGAGGAAGACCAUCAAACAUCCACGUCAGCUGAUGGAGGUCCAAGAGUCUCACCCAACAAACAACCUACUGAGUGAAGACCUCGAAUCUGAUUGGACGGCCUCCUAUUCAGCCACGUGUGAACAAAUGCCUCUAAGCUGAUUUGUUUUCUAAAAUAAAUCUAGUUUGUGUCCUAA